GAUAAGGAGCUUGCUCCUUUGACGUUAGCGGCGGACGGGUGAGUAACACGUGGGUAACCUACCUAUAAGACUGGGAUAACUUCGGGAAACCGGAGCUAAUACCGGAUAACAUUUGGAACCGCAUGGUUCUAAAGUGAAAGAUGGUUUUGCUAUCACUUAUAGAUGGACCCGCGCCGUAUUAGCUAGUUGGUAAGGUAACGGCUUACCAAGGCGACGAUACGUAGCCGACCUGAGAGGGUGAUCGGCCACACUGGAACUGAGACACGGUCCAGACUCCUACGGGAGGCAGCAGUAGGGAAUCUUCCGCAAUGGGCGAAAGCCUGACGGAGCAACGCCGCGUGAGUGAUGAAGGGUUUCGGCUCGUAAAACUCUGUUAUUAGGGAAGAACAAAUGUGUAAGUAACUGUGCACGUCUUGACGGUACCUAAUCAGAAAGCCACGGCUAACUACGUGCCAGCAGCCGCGGUAAUACGUAGGUGGCAAGCGUUAUCCGGAAUUAUUGGGCGUAAAGCGCGCGUAGGCGGUUUCUUAAGUCUGAUGUGAAAGCCCACGGCUCAACCGUGGAGGGUCAUUGGAAACUGGGAAACUUGAGUGCAGAAGAGGAAAGUGGAAUUCCAUGUGUAGCGGUGAAAUGCGCAGAGAUAUGGAGGAACACCAGUGGCGAACGCGACUUUCUGGUCUGUAACUGACGCUGAUGUGCGAAAGCGUGGGGAUCAAACAGGAUUAGAUAC
rnacentral:rRNA from 1 species